rnacentral:rRNA from 1 species
UACGUAGGCAGCGAGCGUUGUUCGGAAUUACUGGGCGUAAAGAGUGUGUAGGCGGUGCUCUAAGUUCGGUGUGAAAUCUCCCGCUUAACUGGGAGGGUGCGCCGGAAACUGGAGUGCUCGAGCGUGGGAGAGGAAAGCGGAAUCCUGGUGUAGCGGUGAAAUGCGUAGAUAUCAGGAGGAACACCUGCGGUGUAGACGGCUUUCUGGACCAUUGCUGACGCUGAGACACGAAAGCGUGGGUAGCAAACGGG